AGUGAACGCUUUCUUUCUUCCUAACACAUGCAGGUCGAACGGCAGCACAGUAAGAGCUUGCUCUUACGGGUGGCGAGUGGCGGGCGGGUGAGGAAUACAUCGGAAUCUACUUUUUCGUGGGGGAUAACGUAGGGAAACUUACGCUAAUACCGCAUACGACCUACGGGUGAAAGCAGGGGAUCUUCGGACCUUGCGCGAUUGAAUGGGCCGAUGUCGGAUUAGCUAGUUGGCGGGGUAAAGGCCCACCAAGGCCACGAUCCGUAGCUGGUCUGAGUGGAUGAUCAGCCACACUGGAACUGAGACACGGUCCAGACUCCUACGGGAGGCAGCAGUGGGGAAUAUUGGACAAUGGGCGCAAGCCUGAUCCAGCCAUACCGCGUGGGUGAAGAAGGCCUUCGGGUUGUAAAGCCCUUUUGUUGGGAAAGAAAAGCAGCAGGUUAAUACCCCGCUGUUCUGACGGUACCCAAAGAAUAAGCACCGGCUAACUUCGGG
rnacentral:rRNA from 1 species